AUGCUGGCUGAGAUCUUUUGGCAUGCCACCCAGCGUGCUGAUUACCACCGGGACCACCUGUACUGGUUUCUGCCAGAGGCUUUGCAGUUGGAUCUUGAGGUCCUGAUGACGGCUGAGUUUUUCCUGUCGUUUUUCAUCAAUUCGACUGUCACCUGGUAUGCUUGAAGUUCUGAUGGUGGAGAUGCAGGAUCCAAGUUCUGGCAUCAAAAUGCAAACUCAGAAGGUCACCGUCUGCGACAUCCCGCAUGCUAUGUUUGGUAAGUCUUGACAGUCAGAAGCACUGGAAAACAGUGCCACCUAACUAAUCUCCUUUAUAUAAUCUCAUCUAAUAUUCACAACUAUUUUAUCUCUCUCUUGGAUAUUGGGAGGACACUCAAAAU
rnacentral:lncRNA from 11 species